rnacentral:tRNA from 1 species
CUCGGAGUGGCGAAAUUGGCAGAACGCGACGGACUUAAAAUCCGUUGGUAGCGAUACCGUACGGGUUCGACCCCCGUCUCCGAGACCA